UUAAGCGACUAAGCGUACACGGUGGAUGCCCUGGCAGUCAGAGGCGAUGAAGGACGUGCUAAUCUGCGAUAAGCGUCGGUAAGGUGAUAUGAACCGUUAUAACCGGCGAUUUCCGAAUGGGGAAACCCAGUGUGUUUCGACACACUAUCAUUAACUGAAUCCAUAGGUUAAUGAGGCGAACCGGGGGAACUGAAACAUCUAAGUACCCCGAGGAAAAGAAAUCAACCGAGAUUCCCCCAGUAGCGGCGAGCGAACGGGGAGGAGCCCAGAGCCUGAAUCAGUGUGUGUGUUAGUGGAAGCGUCUGGAAAGGCGCGCGAUACAGGGUGACAGCCCCGUACACAAAAAUGCACAUGCUGUGAGCUCGAUGAGUAGGGCGGGACACGUGGUAUCCUGUCUGAAUAUGGGGGGACCAUCCUCCAAGGCUAAAUACUCCUGACUGACCGAUAGUGAACCAGUACCGUGAGGGAAAGGCGAAAAGAACCCCGGCGAGGGGAGUGAAAAAGAACCUGAAACCGUGUACGUACAAGCAGUGGGAGCCUCUUUAUGGGGUGACUGCGUACCUUUUGUAUAAUGGGUCAGCGACUUAUAUUCUGUAGCAAGGUUAACCGAAUAGGGGAGCCGAAGGGAAACCGAGUCUUAACUGGGCGUUAAGUUGCAGGGUAUAGACCCGAAACCCGGUGAUCUAGCCAUGGGCAGGUUGAAGGUUGGGUAACACUAACUGGAGGACCGAACCGACUAAUGUUGAAAAAUUAGCGGAUGACUUGUGGCUGGGGGUGAAAGGCCAAUCAAACCGGGAGAUAGCUGGUUCUCCCCGAAAGCUAUUUAGGUAGCGCCUCGUGAAUUCAUCUCCGGGGGUAGAGCACUGUUUCGGCAAGGGGGUCAUCCCGACUUACCAACCCGAUGCAAACUGCGAAUACCGGAGAAUGUUAUCACGGGAGACACACGGCGGGUGCUAACGUCCGUCGUGAAGAGGGAAACAACCCAGACCGCCAGCUAAGGUCCCAAAGUCAUGGUUAAGUGGGAAACGAUGUGGGAAGGCCCAGACAGCCAGGAUGUUGGCUUAGAAGCAGCCAUCAUUUAAAGAAAGCGUAAUAGCUCACUGGUCGAGUCGGCCUGCGCGGAAGAUGUAACGGGGCUAAACCAUGCACCGAAGCUGCGGCAGCGACGCUUAUGCGUUGUUGGGUAGGGGAGCGUUCUGUAAGCCUGUGAAGGUGUGCUGUGAGGCAUGCUGGAGGUAUCAGAAGUGCGAAUGCUGACAUAAGUAACGAUAAAGCGGGUGAAAAGCCCGCUCGCCGGAAGACCAAGGGUUCCUGUCCAACGUUAAUCGGGGCAGGGUGAGUCGACCCCUAAGGCGAGGCCGAAAGGCGUAGUCGAUGGGAAACAGGUUAAUAUUCCUGUACUUGGUGUUACUGCGAAGGGGGGACGGAGAAGGCUAUGUUGGCCGGGCGACGGUUGUCCCGGUUUAAGCGUGUAGGCUGGUUUUCCAGGCAAAUCCGGAAAAUCAAGGCUGAGGCGUGAUGACGAGGCACUACGGUGCUGAAGCAACAAAUGCCCUGCUUCCAGGAAAAGCCUCUAAGCAUCAGGUAACAUCAAAUCGUACCCCAAACCGACACAGGUGGUCAGGUAGAGAAUACCAAGGCGCUUGAGAGAACUCGGGUGAAGGAACUAGGCAAAAUGGUGCCGUAACUUCGGGAGAAGGCACGCUGAUAUGUAGGUGAAGUCCCUCGCGGAUGGAGCUGAAAUCAGUCGAAGAUACCAGCUGGCUGCAACUGUUUAUUAAAAACACAGCACUGUGCAAACACGAAAGUGGACGUAUACGGUGUGACGCCUGCCCGGUGCCGGAAGGUUAAUUGAUGGGGUCAGCGCAAGCGAAGCUCUUGAUCGAAGCCCCGGUAAACGGCGGCCGUAACUAUAACGGUCCUAAGGUAGCGAAAUUCCUUGUCGGGUAAGUUCCGACCUGCACGAAUGGCGUAAUGAUGGCCAGGCUGUCUCCACCCGAGACUCAGUGAAAUUGAACUCGCUGUGAAGAUGCAGUGUACCCGCGGCAAGACGGAAAGACCCCGUGAACCUUUACUAUAGCUUGACACUGAACAUUGAGCCUUGAUGUGUAG
rnacentral:rRNA from 1 species